rnacentral:rRNA from 1 species
GUGGGGAAUAUUGGGCAAUGGGCGAAAGCCUGACCCAGCAACGCCGCGUGAAGGAAGAAGGUCUUCGGAUCGUAAACUUCUAUCCUUGGUGAAGAUAAUGACGGUAGCCAAGAAGGAAGCCCCGGCUAACUACGUGCCAGCAGCCGCGGUAAUACGUAGGGGGCAAGCGUUGUCCGGAAUGAUUGGGCGUAAAGGGCGCGUAGGCGGCCUGGUAAGUCUGGAGUGAAAGUCCUGCUUUUAAGGUGGGAAUUGCUUUGGAUACUGUCGGGCUUGAGUGCAGGAGAGGUAAGCGGAAUUCCCGGUGUAGCGGUGAAAUGCGUAGAGAUCGGGAGGAACACCAGUGGCGAAGGCGGCUUACUGGACUGUAACUGACGCUGAGGCGCGAAAGUGUGGGGAGCAAACAGGAUUAGAAACCCCGGUAGUCC